CACCGCGGUUAUACGAGAGGCCCUAGUUGAUAACUACCGGCGUAAAGAGUGGUUAUGGAAAAUAUUUAAUAAAGCCGAACACCCCCUCAGCCGUCAUACGCACCUGGGAGCACGAAGACCUACCGCGAAAGCAGCUUUAAUUAUGCCUGACCCCACGACAGCUAAGAAA
rnacentral:rRNA from 1 species